rnacentral:rRNA from 1 species
CGUAAGGGGCGAGCGUUGUCCGGAAUUAUUGGGCGUAAAGAGUGCGUAGGCGGCAAAUUAAGUCAGAUGUGAAACUAAGGGCUCAACCCAUAGGAUUGCAUCUGGAAACUGAUAUGCUUGAGUCAAGGAGAGGAAAGUGGAAUUCCUAGUGUAGCGGUGGAAUGCGUAGAUAUUAGGAGGAAUACCGGUGGCGAAGGCGACUUUUCUGGACUUUGAACUGACGCUGAGGCACGAAAGCGUGGGGGAGCAAACAGGAUU